GUGCUCAUGUCGGCAAUACAUACAUUGAAAUUUGAAUGAUCCAGAGAUUAGCUUGACUCCUACACAAAGCUAACAUUCAAAUGUGUACAACAUUCUAUUGUUUG
rnacentral:snRNA from 1 species